ensembl:lncRNA
UGAUUGUAUGUUUGUUUAUUCGAUGUGUAACUGUGUCGACCUGCUUUGCUUUAUCUUGGCCAGGUCACAGUUGCAAAUGAGAACUUGUUCUCAACUAGCCUACCUGGUUAAAUAAAGGUGAAAUAAAAAUAAACAUUUUCCCUAUAUCCAUGUAGUACAUGAGGACACAGUGCGAUGCACAGUGCUUGCUUUGUAAGUAAGCAAGGUGUGAAUCUAUCUUGUGAUUAAACAGACUUAUUGUAGGUUAUUUGACUGAUUUACAGAUCAUGGACUAUUUUUCUGUUUUAUAUUAGGAUACUUUUUUAAUAGAUUUAAAUGUUUCCAUAUCUCAGUGUCUUUAGAGUAUCCUGUGAGGCAGAUCAACGUGCCCUAUGGUCAGGAGGAGAGCAGCAGCUUGAAGGUUUUGGGGGAAACAUUUCCCCCAGAUGAAUCCAAAUGUAGAGGCCUUUAAGACGGGCAGGAGGAGGAGACUUGUUCCCCUACAAAAAAAAGAGUUGUUGUCAAGACAAUGGAGGAUAGAGAUGGUGUGGUUGAAUUGGUGGCUCAACAAUUUGUCCAAGGGAGCAUGCAGGUGGUCUUGGAGCAGUAAGUCAACUCUGUCAUAAAUCUGUGCAGGACUUGUCAUUACCUCCUCUAACAUAAGUAUUUUUAACCAGUCCACCCCCCUAAAUCAAUACACAUCACUAUAUUGUCCUUAAACUUGUUUUAAAUAUACAUACUGUCUCUAAACCAUGACAGGUUCAAAUAUGGUCCCAACUCUCUUGGGCUGCUCAAAGCAUUGGGGAACCACCCGGACAGCCUCCGAGCACUUUUUGUGGGGACCUGCGGGAUCUGUUUAAAAUAACCUGUUCCAUGCCUGGCGGCAACCGGCGGUGUUUGGAGAACGACACCGUCUGCCACUGGUUCAACUGGCUGGCUGAGGUGGAAGAUGGAGAAUGUCCUCCUCUAACAGUGGCGAUGGUGUUGGAGUUUGCUACUGGGGCAACGGUGAUGCCACCCCUUGGGUUUGAGGACACCCCGACCAUCGAAUUCCUCACACACAGCGCGAGGGAGUCUCGCUAGGCAGUAGAAGAAAAAGUACCCAGUGGCAAACACGUGUGCUGUGACACUAAGGCUCCCUCUUCAUAGCACCUACAAUGCCUUUAGGGAAUUCAUGACCUCCGGUAUUGUGAAUUCCCCACAUUUCGGUGUUGCAUAAAAACAUUUUUACGACACAUAAUUGUAUCUAGUAGCACUAAACUACAGUAGCAAUUGAGUGUCUGAAAAUGUAACAGCACAUCGACAUUUAAGCAUUUAUCUACUUGUUUGUAUGGUAUUCAGACCUCUUGCCUUUUUAUUACGUUACAGCCUUAUUAAAAAACGGAUAAAAUUUUCCCCCUCAUCAAUCUACACACAAUACCCCAUAAUGACAAAGCAAAAACAGGUUUACAUUUUUGCAAAUGUAUAUAUAAAAAAAGAGGAUAUAUUACAUGUAUGACCCUUUACUUAGUACUUUGCUGAAGCAGCGAUUACAUCAGUCUUCUUGGGUAUGACGCUACAUUUUAAUUUAUUUAAUAGAUUUUAGAAUAAGGCUCUAAUGUAACAAAAUGUGGAAAAAGUCAAGGGGGUCUGAAUACUUUCCAAAUGCACUGUAUUUCCAUAUCGGCUGUUAUUGUGCACUUAAUGAUCCUUUAAAAUUAAAUUAUUACAAUCCAUAUUGCUUGUCUUGGCGUUUUUUUUAUUUUUUAGAAACACUUUACUGACACUUCACUAAUAACCAAUAUCCUUUGCUGAUAUUGACUGAAGUACUCCUGCCAUAUCGCAGCCAACUCAUCCAAAUCUGAUAAUUUGAUGUCCUACAUUAAGAACAAUAAACUUCAACAAUCAUUUAAUUAGAACUACAUGAAAUAAGACUUCCCAUCCACUGUAUUAAGUGACAGCUCCACUUCUGGGAACUGCACCUUCGUAGUAACUUAUCGAAUUUCAAAUGCAUUGAUCUAAGAACUAGAUCCAUUAGUCCAAAGCUCUCCAACCUUGUUCCUGGAGAGCUGCCCUCCUGUAGGUUUUCAAUCCAACCUCAAUUGUAACUAACCUGAUUAAUUUAUUAAGCAGGUAAUUAUUCAAAUCAGGUGCACUAGAUUAGGGUUGGAGUGAACUUACAAGACAGUAGCUCUCCAGGUACAGGGUUGGAGAGCCCUGCACUAGUCCAUCUUCAACCACAUCAUUUGAGCUGCCACAAUGUGUCAACAAUGUUAUGUUAGUAACUGUAAUCGGUUGCUGUUAAUCACAAAGAUAUAAAAUGUAACGGGAGCCGAAUCCCUAUCUUCAUAGUUUUUUUAAAUUAUUUUUUUUAACUAUAGGGCUUUCUCCACACAUUUAUUUUAACAAUUUAUAAAAGUCCCGAUUGGGCAUUACAAAAAUGCAAGUUCUGUUUUAAUAAUGUCCAUUCAGAAUGUUCUGUUGUCCUCCCACAGCAGGCGCGCUCUGAAGGCUCUAAUCCAGUGCUUGCAGUAGGCCUCUCCUGGGUCGUGUUAUACUGAGUGGAAGACAAACAUUGUGUCAGCAGAUGGAAUGCUGUGCUAAAGCGCCAUAGAGCAAAAUACAAUAACCUUCAGCCUUAUAUCUUAACAGUACCUGACACUCUCCAAAUAUGAGCAAACAAAAUCAUAACGGAAUGGAGAAGUACGUCACUUUUGUUAAGGCCACCUGUGUCUAAACUCUGGUCCCCAUCUGUUUAGAGUUGUAAAUGUCUGUCGCACCUUUCUAGAGACCAAAUCAUACAGUGUGUGAGAGGGGGAAUGUUAGUAUUAUAAAAUGUAUAAUAGUAUUAUAAAAAUGAACUGAUUCAAAGGAAGGAGUGGAGCUGAAGAUAUAGCAUCCAAUCCCUCAUCCCAGUAGGGGAGUAUAAAUCAGGUUGAAGUAGGAACGAGUGGCGCUGAAGAUAUAACUGCCAUAACCCUCUGUAGAAUGUCAACUCCCAGGCUGCCUCUGGGGACUUCCAAUUGAAUUAUUGUCCACAACAGCUCCAUCUGUGUGUUGCUGAUGGUGAACUGGGUUUGUGGCACAAUCACCCAUUCCGACCAAUAAAUAGCUGCGGCGCCAGUGGUUGGAGGAGGCGCUGAGGUGAUGGUUGUUGGAGGAGGAGCUGAGGUGGUGGUUGGAGGAGGCGCUGAGGUGAUGGUUGUUGGAGGAGGAGCUGAGGUGGUGGUUGGAGGAGGCGCUGAGGUGAUGGUUGUUGGAGGAGGAGCUGAGGUGGUGGCUUGAGAGCUGAUGGUGGUUGAAUUUGGGGCAAACAAAUCCCUUACAGCUGUCAGAUUGGCCCUCUGCAUUGCCAGGGAGCCCGAGACGAACAACUGCAGAGGUGACUGCCGUUGUUCAGUCCUCAGCCCAUGGUGGGUCCCCUGACUGGCAAACACAGCAAGAUCUCUGUUCAUCCGUGGCUGGAACACAAAGUGCAGUGCCCACAGGUCCACCCCAUUGUUGAUGUCGAUGAUCUGCUCCGUCUCCAAGAAGGUGAACAGGUCAUGGUAAACGUUGGAGACUCCAUGCCAGACGUCCCCCUACAGCCACUCUAUCCUCUGGUUGUGUGCUCCUUCCUCUGAGGGCACUUCCCCUCUCACCACCCCUGAAUUGCUCCAUGAAGGCACAGAUACGGUUGUUUUCACCACCCGGGUCACAUCUCACCCGGGAUGGUACUCCGUAGCUGGUGAUGGCUGCUUCGAAUGACAUCCAUGACUGUGGCACUCCUGUUGUUGUCAGAGGCCUUCAGAAACCCAACAAGUCUGCUGUAACCAUCCACAGCACCAUGGAUAACAAUCCUCCACCUAAAAAACAAGAUAUGUUUGUUUUACAAAAACUUUUUAGGGGUCUCUUAUAGGGACGCCAUUCUGUUUUUAUUGAUAUCAGCCCUUUGAUCCUCUCAUCCAGCUGAGUGUCUGACAACAGUGAGUAGGACCUGAAAAGCUGGAAAUGACUCAACACAAAAAAGAUACAUCAAUCAGGAAUGUGAUCAAAUCUAGAGAGGAUGUAGAGAUCUCCCUCUUGUGUUACAAUUGCUUUAUUCUUGACCACAGAGUGCGACACAUUGAGAGCAUCUGCCAUUUGUCUGACGGUCAUAUUGUCACGCCCUGGUCUUAGUAUUUUGUGUUUUCUUUAUUUAUUUGGUUAGGCCAGGAUGUGACAUGGGUUUAUUUUGUGGUGUGUUUGUGUAUUGGGGUUUUUCGUAGGCUUUGGGAUUGUGGCUUAGUGGGGUGUUCUAGCAAAGUCUAUGGUUGCCUGAGGCGGUUCUCAAUCAGAGGCAGGUGAUUCUCGUUGUCUCUGAUUGGGAACCAUAUUUAGGCAGCCAUAUUCUUUGAGUGUUUCGUGGGUGAUUGUUCCUGUCUCUGUGUUAGUUGUCACAAGAUAGGCUGUAUAGGUUUUCACAUUCCGUUUUUGUAUUGUUCGUGUUUUGUCUUCAUUAAACAUGUAUCGAAUUAACCACGCUGCAUUUUGGUCCGACUCUCUUUCGACGGAAGAAAACCGUAACACAUAUGACAAACUGAGCACCUCAAGCUGCUCCUUGGUGAUGUGAUACCACCUUCCCUCCAAAGACGCUUGAUAGGAUACUGAAAUAAAAAAAAUACAAUCGAUAAUUGACAAAAUACACUCCUAAAAACUUUUUGCAGCUUGUACACCACACACUCUCAACACCUACAUUAGAUAGAUAGCUAACAUUAAGUUAACGUUACCGGGCUAUUGAUGGUUGAAGUCCAUCUCUUCUGUCCGUGAGCAGCAGUCUGGUGCAAAUCAGAGAUGGUAGAUUUACGAUCUUCCAGAAAUUGGGCAGCCAUUGAUUUUUUUUUACCUCGGGAGAACAGAAGUUGAGUGAAUGUCUUUCAUCAGUACCUGAGACUUGGGCGGAGUCCAAAUGGCCUUUAUGCAAAUGUUAUCAUCGGUGACAAAAUCUAUGACUCAUAGCGACACGUAUCGGUGAAUCGUUGUGACGUAUGAAAUAGAGUGAGAGUGUAAUCAAUGUGUAAUAAACUACGUACAAAGUGUUAAAUUAUUAUGUGACGUGGGGUCAUAUGCAGGUGCAGAUUGGUAAAGAAGCUUACGUGACGUGUCAAAUAGUGUUAUUUGACGCCUCAAAUAGUGUUAUUUGACGUGUAUCUUUUUGACACUAAAGACCCAAACGGCGUUCCAUAUUAUACAGCCGAAAUUCGCGCGCAUCUGUGUUUAACGUCAGGCCAGUGUGUCGUGUACUGAAAAGCCUAUGUCAGCCCGGAAAAUUGAUCUCCCCUUGCCUUCUCAUCUGAAAGAACGGCCUCUUUACAAUAUCAUCAUGCCGUUCAUUGAUUUAGAAAGUAAUUUACCUGAGAGUACGUUUUCUGAGGAUAAAAAAAAAUAGCCGUGCUCCAAAGCAGCACGUUUGGGAAAUGCAUAAAUUAGUCCCACAUCUCGAAACGUUCACCAGACAGCCUUGAAAAUGAUAUUCCAAUCAAAUCCAGUCAAAGUAGACUCUUGUUCUGUAUUUAUUAUUGACAAUAGCAUAAUUACGGCUUGGCGGUCUUUAAAACUGAUAAAUACAAGAAACGGACCUUCUGAAUACAACGAAUUAGUGUAAAUACAAGAUCGCAAUUUAGGCGUCGUCUUCAAGGUGAAAAAAAAAAG